AUACGGAGGGUGCAAGCGUUACUCGGAAUCACUGGGCGUAAAGCGCGCGUAGGCGGCUUAUUAAGUCAGAUGUGAAAUCCCCGGGCUCAACCUGGGAACUGCAUCUGAUACUGGUAAGCUAGAGUUUUGGAGAGGGAAGUAGAAUUUCAGGUGUAGCGGUGAAAUGCAUAGAGAUCUGAAGGAAUACCAGUGGCGAAGGCGACUUCCUGGCCAAAAACUGACGCUGAGGUGCGAAAGCGUGGGUAGCAAACAGGAUUAGAAACCCUAGUAGUCC
rnacentral:rRNA from 1 species